UACGAAGGGGGCUAGCGUUGCUCGGAAUUACUGGGCGUAAAGCGCACGUAGGCGGAUUGUUAAGUCGGGGGUGAAAUCCUGGAGCUCAACUCCAGAACUGCCCUCGAAACUGGCGAUCUUGAGUUCGGGAGAGGUGAGUGGAACUGCGAGUGUAGAGGUGAAAUUCGUAGAUAUUCGCAAGAACACCAGUGGCGAAGGCGGCUCACUGGCCCGAUACUGACGCUGAGGCACGAAAGCGUGGGGAGCAAACAGG
rnacentral:rRNA from 1 species